UUGAGUGAUCUACUUUCUCCACCCGAGACUUGGAAAGUCACAGUGAGGCCUGCUGUUUUCCCCCGCUGCCAUUACUGCGUGGAGAAGAGGACAUAAGGAAGUCAGGAGUAGCUCGGCCUCUCCUGUGAGCAGGAGGAGAGGACGGAGGUGCUGGUCCACUCCUGCAGGGCUUGCAAAGGAGGCAUCGGAAAACCUCAGCGAGUUUCCUUCCGGCCUGGCUCUCAUCCCUCAGGAAUUGGCAUUCCAUCACUGGGUUGGUCUUCCACAAGUUAAUCCACCAUGAUUGGAAAUGGAAUUCUUAACCACAGUCAAUCUCAACCAGGUCUACACCGCUAGAAGCAAGGGACUCCGAGACUGCAGCGGUGCAAAAUGAAAGCUGAUGGUGCCUAAAUCAGUGCUUGGAAGAGAGGCAGGCAGGAGGUGCUCCCACCCUGCAUUCGACUGUGCUCUAAAUGAGGUAUCCCCCUUCGCUGCGUCCAGCCAUGGAGAUUUGGAGGUUUGUUAUUACCGCAGAGCUUCGCCAAUAGUAACAAAUAAACCCACUGGGGCAAAUGUUUGUCAUUUGAAAAUUUCUUCCCCCAACAGUGUCGUUUAAUUGCAAAUGCUCCUGGGAAGAGGAGGAACAAAUGAAACUAAUUCAUCCUGAUAAU